rnacentral:rRNA from 1 species
AUUGAACGCUGGCGGCAGGCCUAACACAUGCAAGUCGAGCGGAGCGGCGGACGGGUGAGUAAUGCCUAGGUAUCUGCCUGGUCGUGGGGGCUAACGUCAGGAAACGGGCGCUAAUAUCGCAUACUAUCAGAUUAGCCUAGGUCGGAUUAGCUAGUUGGUGGGGUAAAGGCCUAACAAGGCAGCGAUCCGUAACUGGUCUGAGAGGAUGAUCAGUCACACUGGAACUGAGACACGGUCCAGACUCGUACGGGAGGCAGCAGUGGGGAAUAUUGGACAAUGGGCGAAAGCCUGAUCCAGCCAUGCCGCGUGUGUGAAGAAGGUCUUCGGAUUGUAAAGCACUUUAAGUUGGGAGGCGUUACCAACAGAAUAAGCACCGGCUAACUUCGUGCCAGCAGCCGCGGUAAUUC